AUUGAACGCUGGCGGCAUGCUUUACACAUGCAAGUCGAACGGUAACAGGCCUUCGGGUGCUGACGAGUGGCGAACGGGUGAGUAAUGCAUCGGAACGUGCCCAGAGGUGGGGGAUAACGCAGCGAAAGCUGUGCUAAUACCGCAUGUGAUCUGAGGAUGAAAGCGGGGGACCAGGCAGCAAUGUUUGGCCUCGCGCCUUUGGAGCGGCCGAUGUCAGAUUAGGUAGUUGGUGGGGUAAAGGCCUACCAAGCCGACGAUCUGUAGCUGGUCUGAAAGGACGACCAGCCACACUGGGACUGAGACACGGCCCAGACUCCUAGGGGAGGCAGCAGUGGGAAAUUUUGGACAAUGGGCGCAAGCCUGAUCCAGCAAUGCCGCGUGCGGGAAGAAGGCCUUCGGGUUGUAAACCGCUUUUGUACGGAACGAAAAGGCUCUGGCUAAUACCUGGGGCUGAUGACGGUACCGUAAGAAUAAGCACCGGCUAACUACGUG
rnacentral:rRNA from 1 species